rnacentral:rRNA from 1 species
GAGACACGGUCCAGACUCCUACGGGAGGCAGCAGUGGGGAAUAUUGCACAAUGGGCGCAAGCCUGAUGCAGCCAUGCCGCGUGUAUGAAGAAGGCCUUCGGGUUGUAAAGUACUUUCAGCGGGGAGGAAGGCAAUAAGGUUAAUAACCUUGUCCAUUGACGUUACCCGCAGAAGAAGCACCGGCUAACUCCGUGCCAGCAGCCGCGGUAAUACGGAGGGUGCAAGCGUUAAUCGGAAUUACUGGGCGUAAAGCGCACGCAGGCGGUCUGUCAAGUCGGAUGUGAAAUCCCCGGGCUCAACCUGGGAACUGCAUUCGAAACUGGCAGGCUGGAGUCUUGUAGAGGGGGGUAGAAUU